GACGAACGCUGGCGGCGUGCCUAAUACAUGCAAGUAGAACGCUGAAGAGAGGAGCUUGCUCUUCUUGGAUGAGUUGCGAACGGGUGAGUAACGCGUAGGUAACCUGCCUUGUAGCGGGGGAUAACUAUUGGAAACGAUAGCUAAUACCGCAUAACAAUGGAUGACACAUGUCAUUUAUUUGAAAGGGGCAAUUGCUCCACUACAAGAUGGACCUGCGUUGUAUUAGCUAGUAGGUGAGGUAAUGGCUCACCUAGGCGACGAUACAUAGCCGACCUGAGAGGGUGGACGGCCACCCUGGGACGGAGACACGGCCCAUACUCCUACGGGAGGCAGCAGUAGGGAAUCUUCGGCAAUGGGUGCAACCCUGACCGAGCAACGCCGCGUGAGUGAAGAAGGUUUUCGGAUCGUAAAGCUCUGUUGUAAGUCAAGAACGGGUGUGAGAGUGGAAAGUUCACACUGUGACGGUAGCUGACCAGAAAGGGACGGCUAACUACGUG
rnacentral:rRNA from 1 species